UGUAAGACUCCCAAAAUUGCUGUGGUGGAU
rnacentral:piRNA from 1 species